ACUCCGGUUGAUCCUGCCGGACCCGACUGCUAUCGGAUUGAGAUUUAGCCAUGCGAGUCGAACGUCCCCCUGUUGCGGGGGGCGUGGCGUACGGCUCAGUAACACGUAGUCAACCUGCCCUGGAGACGUGGACAACCCCGGG
rnacentral:rRNA from 1 species